rnacentral:lncRNA from 12 species
CGUGGACAGCAGCGCGGCAGCCGAGGCAGCCAAUGAGAGCCUUCCUUCUGUGGCGCUCCGUUGAGUCUCCGUUUGGUUUCCCUCGUGUCAGGCGGAGAUGAGCGGCAGGGAAGGCGGCCAGGUCUGACAGUAAAGCCAUCUCCUCCGCGUGCAUGAACGGGGCCCGGGGGGCUUUGCUCCCACUGCUACCCACUGCAACAGGAGAAGGCUGUUAUUGAUGAGGAAAGGAGAAUAGUGGUUACAUCCUUGAUCAUUUUGGAUCCUGGAACCAGGUACCACCCGGCCAACAAGCCAAGAGCUGCUCGUGUCCCCAGUGGCCUAGGCCUGCUCUCCAAUGGUCCACAGUGGUCAAGUUAUGUAAUCAAGGUGGGCUGCACUUCUGAAAAAGUGGUGACGUCACUUCCUCACCUAAAAGGCAGAUUUUCAGAGGUAGAUACUCCCAUGGCCAUUUGCUGGAGUUGGAAACCUGUCUGCAAGCUGGGAGGUUUGAUGAUCAAAGUCCCCAGAGCUGCCCAUGAGUUCCUGUGUUUCUGUGCCAAAUUCCAGCGAACAAAACCCUAAAAUAAAAAAAUAGUCUUACCACAAGGAAACUAUUUUUGGCAGUUUAUAGGAAUCUC